rnacentral:rRNA from 1 species
CCCUUAGAUGUCCUGGACCGCACGCGCGUUACACUGAUGCAUUCAACGAGCUUAUAACCUUGGCCGAGAGGCCUGGGCAAUCUUGUUAACGUGCAUCGUGAUAGGGAUAGAUUAUUGAAAUUAUUAAUCUUGAACGAGGAAUUCCUAGUAAACGCAGAUCAUCAAUCUGCAUUGAUUACGUCCCUGCCCUUUGUACACACCGCCCGUCGCACCUACCGAUUGGAUGGUCCGGUGAAGCCUCGGGAUUGUGGUUCUUGCUGCUUUAUUGUGGCGUGACCGCGAGAACUUGUCUAAACCUUAUCAUCUAGAGGAAGGUGAAGUCGUAACA